UCUCCCUCUCUUUCUCUCUCCAUCUCUCUGCAUCUCUGUUUAUUGGAAAGCUCUUGUGCUGCCACUGUGCGGUCCUGCUUCAUCAUGUGUAUAGUGUUUCGGAGCAGAUGGGGAAGCAAAGGAAGGGGCAGAGAUGAGAAAGGAGGAGGAGUGUGGUAGGCAACUAGAGAUGGAGAUGCUCUCCACGUGAAGAGAAGUGGACUGUGGGAUAUUUCUUUAAAGGCUGAACUGGUGGUCUGCUCCUUCUGGAUGUCCCUUGCUGUUCUUUGACAUAAACACAAAGCCUCACUGUGCGAGAGAUGUUUGCACCCACAGCUGCAGCAGUGCGUCAGACACAGUCCUCAUCAGCAGAAAGCAGACGCUGACUGCCUUCACUGAAAUCUACUGGAGUCUCUUAAUUAAUGCUAAUUUCUGAUGACUUGCUGAUCUCAUCAUAAAGGAUCUACAAAGAUAAACAGAGCCAGCUUUCACUUCUGUUGGGGAACAUGUGGGCAAAUUCUCUCUGCUCCUCAUAAGUCUGUUCUAACUGAACGAGCUCAGCAUGAGCAAUUAUAAUCGAUUUUAUAUCUGUAUAAAGAUUAAAUAUCAGUGCUUUAAUCUGUGAUCCAUCCAUACCAUCUCAUUGGAUCCAUCUAAAUGUGGGACAGUAGGAAUGGUUUCAGUCCAUCUGUUGCAAUGAGCAUAUUUAAUCCUGCAGAUUUAAUUCCUUGCAACCUAUUCUCUGCAGCUCAGUGUUCAUAAUGGAAGCUGUAGAGAACUCCACAGGACUGUCCACAGCCGCCUUGGUGGCCAUUGCCUGCAACACAGUUGUUGCCGUCCUCCUCCUUCUGCUCUGCCUGGUUGUUUACCGAGCCUGCGGCGUCCCUUCAAACCCAGAGAGGCUGCCUGUGUUGGUGCAGAGCGAAGCAGAAACCCAGCAGAUGAACGAGCACAAGUACCUGUUGACCUCUUGACUGCAGUACGAUGAGUCAAAUGCAGCCACAAGUGAGGGAGCCCAUUCCUGCCUCUACAGAAGCGCUGCAUGUGUGAAAAAGAAAACACAAACCAUGCUUCGUGGUACUUUAACCCAGCUGUCCUUUAACAAAGCUCAUCCUUCGUGUGACAAAGCACGCCGCAGAAUAACAAGGUGACUACAAAUGGCUGCAAAACAGAAUUGCCACGGCAACAAGGAGGGGUAGUAGAGGUGGGGAGAAUGGUAAGUUCUCCAAGUAUCAUUUCGAAUCAAUCUCAUGACAUGGCUGGAAAAACCCAAAGGCUCGUCUCUGGUGAAUAACUGGACCUUAGGGUUUAUGUGGAGAUCCUACUCGCUAACUCAUCCAAACAAACCCUGCUAAAGUCUGUCUGAAAAUAUGUGCUCUCUUCAACGUGUCUCUCACUUUGACAUCUGUGACGGUGGGCCAAUCAUCCUGGGCUGAGUCACAGAACGAAUGACUGUAGGAGACCACUGGGACUCUACCUGCACUGCACCAAAUAUAUUUAUCCUCAUACAUGUAAACAGUAGAUCUGAUCCUGUAACUUUCCAUUUAACAGCAUGUAGCACCGUUUAAACGCUAUUCUAUGUAACUCACAGUUAACACUACUACUGAGGUUUUCCCCCCUGAGAUUAAAGCUGCACCUAUUGAAGUAAAAGUG